GACGAACGCUGGCGGCGUGCCUAACACAUGCAAGUCGAACGAAGUGGCGAACGGGUGAGUAACACGUGAGUAACCUGCCUUACACAAGGGGAUAGCCUUUGGAAACGUAGAAUAAUACCCUAUAGUGUAAGAUGGACUUGCGGCUGAUUGGCUAGUUGGGGAGAUAAAGGCCCACCAAGGCAACGAUCAGUAGCCGGCUUGGGGGAGUGUACGGCCACAUGGGGACUACGGCACGGAGCAAUCUCUACGGGAGGCAGCAGUGGGGAAUAUUGCACAAUGGGGGAAACCCUGAUGCAGCAACGCCGCGUGCGGGAGACGGCCUUCGGGUUGUAAACCGCUUUCAGCCAUGACGCGGUAGUGGCAGAAGAAGCACCGGCUAACUACGUGCCAGCAGCCGCGGUAAUUC
rnacentral:rRNA from 1 species